GACGAACGCUGGCGGCGUGCUUAACACAUGCAAGUCGAGCGGUAAGGCCCUUUCGGGGGUACGACGAGCGGCGAACGGGUAGAGUAACACGUGGGUGACCUGCCCUCAGCUCUGGGAGUAAGCCUGGGAAACCGGGUCUAAUACUGGAUAUGACUCCAUGACGCAUGUUGUGGGGUGGAAAGCCUUGUGCGGCUGAGGAUGGGCCCGGCGGCCUAUCAGCUUGUUGGUGGGGUGAGGCCUACCAAGGCGACGACGGGUAGCCGGCCGUGAGA
rnacentral:rRNA from 1 species